ACAUAUAAUAUUCUAGAUAGGUUAUGUUUUUUUUGUCAUCAUGACAAAAUGACAGCCGUGAUGGUAUACUAACAAAUCUAGUGCUUGGUAAUCUGUGACAGUUUAUAAAUAGGUGCCCAUUAUGUGAAUUAAUAACGAUUAUAUUUUAUGGUUUUAUUAUUGCAUUUAUGAAGAUAAUAUUAGAAUAGAUUUUAACGAAAUAAGGUACAAGGGUUGCGAAUAGGGGUGGCGGGAACAUUAGUAUGAUUUGAUAUUUGCGGCGAUGAACUUUCGAGUAACUAAAGCCAACUGAUAAUAAUAUUGUCGUAUUUAUCAUGUGUAAAAUGUUACUAAAAAUAUUGUAACCUAUUUAUAUCUUGGAAACUAAUUCAGUACACACUGUACAUAUUUUAUAAUUUAAAUAAUUUUGUGGAUUUUAAACAUGGAGUCGAUUUCGUCAUUUAUGGAAAUUUUUGUAAGAUGCACAAAAGAAAAUAAUCCCAAGGAUUUAGUAGAAUUCUUAAAGGAUAGUCAUAAAUACUUUCAAAGUUUAACAACAGAUGAAAGCAAACAAGCAUUGUCUAAUCUUUUUAAUAAUGACGAAGGAUUGCUCAGUUUUCUCAAAAACGAGCUUAACAGGCCAGUGUCAAGGAGACUUUUUGAUAAUGUAGUUAUAGAAGUAUUUUCAAUAAUUGGAUUUAUUAUAGACAAUCUUCAUAUGAUAUUUCAUCAGUAUGUUCAACCGGUUAAAGAUAUUUGCCAAUUGGCACUUAUUAUGCAAUGUUCCAUGUAUAUUAAAAGGUCUGCUUGCAGUACUUUGAAAAAAUUAAUAGAAAAAUUUGAGGAAAAUGAGUUAAAUUUAGAUGAAACUGUUAAAAAAUUUAUUUCUAAAUUCUAUAAACUCCCUAUUAAAGAAAGAAGUUUUAUCUUUUCUAUUUUUGGAAUAAUAGCACAGCAUCAUCCGCAAGUUCCAACCUUGCAGAAAUAUAAAAAUGACAUUUUUAAAUUACUGUUUAAUGAUUUUAAAAGUCAGUAUAAUCCUUUAUUAAAAAAUCUACCUAACGAGAUUCAAAUUUAUUUGGAAGUUCUAACUAAUAUCUUAAAUGAUCUUUACACACCUGAAGAAAUAGGUUCAGAAUAUUAUGCAGAGUUAUAUAAAUGGAUCAAAUAUCUUAGCAUGCCAAAUAUAGCAAAAAAGUAUAUCACAAGAACAGCAAUUGUUUUUUUAUCUAAAAAUAUAAAUCUAUUUUCUACAUUUGUAUAUAAUGAUUAUAAAUAUUGGUAUAAAUUAUUUUACAAUUUAACAAAAGAGAAAAGUGCGCAUGGACAAUGCGGACAGGAAGCAUUAAAAGCUUAUUACAACAAUUUAGAAAUUGUAUUAAAAUCUAGCGACGAAGACAAAAAUAAAGCAGUAUUUUUGUAUUUUAAAAAUCUUUUUAAAGAACAACUGAUGGAUCCGGCAUUAGAUCCAAAUUCAUUAAGACUUGUAGUAUAUGGAUUUAGUAAAUUGGCUGCUCCUUGUAAAAUAUAUUUUCAUAAUGAUGUCAAAGAUAUGUAUUUACUUAUCGCGGGCUAUACAGUUUCUUUGUUUUUAAAGGAAAAUAUGGAACAGGCACAGUUUGAAAAUAUUACUGAUUAUCAAGAAGCAUUAUCAGAAAUACUUCGUCACGUAUCAGAUGUGUCUAUUGGACAAAUAAACCUCCUAAUAAAAAUUAGCGUUUUUUCUAUCAAAAGGUAUCCUGAUUUCUCUGGAAUACGUAAAACUUAUGCAAUUUCGUCUUUAAUUAAAACUUUAAUUAAUAUUGCUUCCAUAAACAAGAUAUUAUUAGAUGAAUUUCUUUAUAAUAUAAUUCUUGAUGGAAUUGCAUGGACAUGCUCACAUACGUUACGGAUUGAUGCUGAAUUGCUUGGUGAACUACAUAAUCUUUCAAAAAAUCCAAUUUGUUACAAGAAUUAUUUGCCUUUAUGGUUGGAAUUGUUGAAACCAAGUAGAUAUAAAUAUGAAGAGAUAUUAAUACCACAACAAGUUUUUGAUAAAAUAAUAAAUAUCUAUAUUACUUUAAUAACUAAAUUAAAUUUAAAUACCAGGAUAAAGAACGAUUGUAUUCUUUCUGAUAUAGCUUUUUCUCAAACUGCUGAAAAUGAAAAAGAUUUCCGAAUAUUUCUUAAUAUGGUGGAUCUUAUGAUUGAUAUAAUUAAUCGGAUUGAACCAUUUCUUUUGGAAAAUACAAUAUAUAAAUUUUUAUAUGAAAUUAUUAGAAUGUCUUACAAAUAUCCUUUGAUAUCAGGAUUUUACAAAUUAGUUCAUGCAAUCAUGAAGAAUUCUGAAAUAUUUUCUACUCUAGAUAAUGAAGAUGAUAAUAAUACCGAAAUACAAGAAUUAGUGUAUAAGUAUUUGAUAAAUACUUUAGAUCAGAUUAUUACUUUUUCCAAUGAGUUAUUGACUGCUUGUCUUUAUUUAAUUAUGUGUAUACCAAUUAAAUAUGUACCAAAUGUAUUGAAUCGUACGAUUCCUACAUUUAAAAUUGCUAUUACGAUGGGUUUAAACGAUUUUGAUCUUGCCUCUGUUAUACUUGAUACUUUGGAAAAAUGGAUAUCUCAUUUAGAUCGAGAAAAAACGAAGGAUUUCUUGUUAGAAAUAAUACCAAGUUUAGAAUUAUUUCUGCAAAGCAACGAAAGCUCUACUGAAUUAUUACAAGAUAUUAUAAAGUCUCAGAGAAAAAAUGUUAAAUAUAUAACUUUAAUUGAUAAUGAGAAUGCAUUAGAAAAACUUCAAAGAAGAAUCCUUUUAUUUUUUGGCUCGCUGGAUUCCGAUGUCUUAUCAGAUGUCGUAUAUAGAAGAACUUUAAAUACAGGAUCAACUUGGGAUAAGAAAGAUUUACUUAAGUGUAUGCUGUAUUUUCCAGAUUUGAGGAUAGAAUUUCAUUUUGAUAAAAUUCUUCCCAGAUUGAUAACUUUGGCUCAAAGUUCUGGAGAUAGACGCACAAAAGUAAUUGCAAGUGAAUUACUUCAUAAAAUGGUUUCAUUUAUUCUUGGUAAAGCAAAGCAACAUUUAACAGUAGAUAUAGAUCGUUUUGCUACUUUAUAUGAAACAUUAUAUCCAGUAUUACUUGAUCUUAGUUGUGAUUCCGAUGAAGUUGUGUGGAAACUUUUUCAACCAUUAAUGAUACAAUUGUCACAUUGGUUGAGCUCACAAUUUAUGUUUAAAUCGCUUAUAACUGCAUUGUUUAUAAAUUUACUUUUUGACGGUCUAUGCAAUAAUGAAAAGUCAUCUGUCAGAGAAUUUUCUGGUUUAUGUUUAUCAGAAUUUAUAGAUUGGUCUUUGAGACAAUUUCCAGAGACAAACGAACACAAUGGACAUAUUCGUGACAUCAUAAGAAAGAUAACUAAUUUUGCAGUACAUCCUUCUAAAAGCAAACGUAUGGCAGCAGCUACGGCUUUUAAUCAUCUUUAUAGAAUUAUGCGUGAACAUGAAGAAAUAAUUACAAUAUAUUGGUUAGAGCUAUUAUAUUGUUUUAUUAAAAGUCUAGAAGGAUACAAUGAUAUCUCAAUACAUAAUGCUCUUAACCACAUUAAUAAAGUUAUACAAGUUAAGGCAGAUUUAUUGAAUGAAGAUAAUUCAUUGCGUAGAAAACCAUCUGCAUUUACAGGAAGAACAUUAACUGAUGCUGUUAAUUGGUUAUUUACUCAAUGUGGAUCUUUAGAUCCAAAUUGCAGACAAAAAAGUAUGGAAUUGUUUAUUCAGAUUUCCGAACAUCUUCUUAAUUAUAAUUCGCCAACAGAAGUCAUUGAAUCUUAUAUCGAGAAAAAUGGAAUACAAGAAAUUAAUUGUAUAAUAUUGAAAGAUUUAAAAGUAAAAGGAGAAAAUCUUUCCUUUAAAAAUAUGUUAUUGCUUUCGAAGAGUUUGGACUGCUAUAUAUGGUUGAUAAAUAACAGCUUAAUCAAUAUGGAUUAUUUAUUUACCGAUAUUAAUCCUGAGAAAGAUAUUAUUUUUGAUUAUAUAAGAAAUUUUGUACACUUAUUGCUGGAAACUAAGAUAGAAAAAAAAGAUAAAAUAGUUAUUUCUAAAGAGAUUGAACAAUUGCAAACGUUGCAAUGUAAAAUUAUAAUGAGAAUAUUCAAUUUUAUUCAAGUUCUUUUCAAUUUAAAUAUAGACAUUAUACCAGAUUUUGUUCUCAAUGAAGAAUUAUUUGAAUUAAUAGCUAAAUGUAUAAUAUGCCCACAAGCACUAGGAUUCGACAUGAGGAAUGUUACGAUAAAUGAGCAAUUACCAAUAUUGUUAGAACAGUUACUGCAAGUACUCGUACAAAAAAUGAAUGAUUCGUUACAGUAUUGUUUUAAAAGAAAAAUAGAAAGUUAUGCAAUGAAACAUUGUGCUACCUUUUUAACUUUGCAUGAGAAUAAUGAUAAAAUAUCGACAGAAAUUUGGGAUUAUGUAAAAGGUCUUAUUUUAUUAGAAAAUUGUAAUAUUCUUUCUCAAUUGUGUAAGGAUCAACAAAUUUUUGAUAAUUUUGAACGUGAUAUUGAAUAUAUUUUUAAAUCUUUGUCAAAAGAAGAAGCUGGAAUUUCUGUUUGUGUUGGUUUUCAUACACAAAUAAUAGAAUAUUUACAGAGUGUAAUGACAUUGUUUCUUACUACUUAUAAGCCAUCGAUAACAAAAAAAUUAAUAAAUUUAAUUGGAAACAGUGAUGUAUUGCUUGGAUUAGAUACCAUAGAGAUAACACAUGGAGAAUAUUUUUUGAGCAUAUUUAAAGAUGCCAUUUUUGGAUACAUACUAAAAAAUAUAGAAGAAACUAUGAUAAUUCUUGAAGAUCUAUUAGAAACAAACGCAUGUUUUGCAUUGACUAUGUUAGAAGAUUUAAUGCUAUUUGCACAGCAUCAUAAAAAUAAAUAUAAAGAUUAUAUAGAAUCGUUAGUAACUACAAUCAUCAAAAAGUUCAUUAUUUUAGAUAGAAUUGUAAGUAAUAUUGAGCGUAGAAAGGAGAAACUAAUUAACAUUUAUGGAAUUUGCGUGCAUUUAAUGCAUAAUCCUAUAAAAGUUGCGCAAAUGUCUGAAUAUUUUUAUCAAUGGAUUCUAAAAGAAUUUACCAGACAAGAAAUAGAUAUUGAAUACAAAACUAAGCUUUUACAACAUUUUCUUAUAUGUUUAACGGAUAUAUCAUCUACAUAUAAACCUGAAUUAGUUACUAUUCUGCGCACAUUAAGAAAAGAUAGGCUUUCAAUAUCACAUAACGUAUUUUCCGAACAUAGUAUGGUUGCAAUGAAAAUUAAAAAUUGUUUCUACAUGUUAUUAACUCUAUUACCUAUUACAAAGUCGUUAAUGGUCUAUGAAACUAUAAUUUUUUUUGCCGCAAGUAGUGGUGAAUAUUUGUUUACUGAAAAAUUAGAAGAGUGUAUGAAAAGAUAUUUUGAUAGUAUUCCUAGUAAUUAUGCUUUGAAAUCAUUAGAAAUGAGUUAUAAAUACUUUAUGGAUCUUAACAGUUUUGGUAAUGAUACCACCUCUAGUAGAUUUGACAUUUUACAGAAAUUUCUUUUACCAAUGUUUCAAUUUUGCAACAUUUGUGAAAUAGAACAAUUUUAUGAAAAUAAUAUUAAGGAUAUUUAUACCAUUAUAACUAAAAAUCUUGUGGGUAAUGAUAUAGAUAAACAACAACUUAUUAUAUCUACAAUUGGUUGUUACGAACUUGUUGGUAUUAUGUUUGCAAAAAUUGAUAUACAAAAAAUAACUAGCGUCGAUAGCACAAUUACAAAAAAUGCUAUUGACAAUGUGAAUACUGGUACAGAACUUUUAUCAGGAUUAUAUGCAAACACUCUUCGUGUGCGAUCUUUGAGAACAGAUAAUCCAGAACAUAAAGAAAUAAUGAGAUUAUUACAUUGUUCUGCAUAUAAUUGUUCCAUAGCAAUUGUAAGUUUAAAGGAUAAUGAGCAAGCAUAUAUGAGCGUAUUUGGUGAAAACAAAAGUAAAAAUAUGCUUAUAUGGGAUAAUAUUAUUAAUUUGGAUAAAAAAUAUAAUAUUCAACAAACUGUUAAAAAUUAUUCCAAAAAUAAAAAGAAAUUAAUUAACAUAAAAAAGCCUAAAAGCCAAGAAUAUAAUACGAACGAAAACAAUUAUUCAUACAUUUAUAGCUACAAUAUAGCUGAAUCAACACUUUGUGAAGAUUUAAAUGCUUAUGAUUUAAAUGAAGCUCAUAUUAUUAAUCAAUCUAAAAAUAAUAACAAAGAAGAAAGUAUGAGCUUAUUAUUUGAAUCUGAUGAUUUGAAUGAUCAUGAAUGUAUGCCAUCUAUUUGUGGAGUUUUAAUACAUAUGAUGUCUAAAGGAAUUUAUGUUACUUCCAACGAAGAUAAUCUUACGCUACCUAAAUCAUUAAAAUGUUUCCAUGACUCUAUGUUAAUACAACGCAAUAAUAAUGUCAGAUUAUUUAUGUUAAAAAUUAUAUUGAAUGCGUCACAGCUAUUUGAACAUUAUGCUAAAUUUUUCUUACUUCCAGUCAUAGCUACUAUUAAUUCAUAUUUAAUUACAAACAAAUUGAAUUAUAUUAUUACCGAUGCUUUAUUGACAUUAAUAGAUUGGCAUAAAGUUGCCGUACCUAAUGAAACUAAAGAGAAAGAAUGGGCACAAAAACUAUUUGAAAAAUUAAUUCAAAAUAUAUUACUGACUAAUGAAGACACAUCAAAAGGAAUUUAUAAGUACAAUGUUAAUAUUAUUAGAAUGAUGAUUGCAGUUUGGCAUCAAUGUUUAAAAGUUCCAACGAAUUUCAAUGAAAUAAUGAUAAAUUCACCUAAAACGGCUAUUCAUCUAAUACUAAUGUUUUUAGCUAACAAUACGCAAGUGGAAAUUAUUUGCAAAGACGAUAUUCUAGAGUUUCUACAAAAUAGUGUUGAAAAUUGGCAAAAAGAUGAAGAAAUGGUUUUGCAAAGUUGCGAAGCUCUUGGAAUAAUAUUUAAAUUAUUUAAAAAUGAUACAAACUAUUCUAGUAAAUUACAUGACAUCGGUGAAAAAUUAGAAAAUUCUUUUCGACAGAUGCAAAUGAAAUUUGGAAAUAGACAAAUUAGAUGUAUCCAGGCUUUGUGUAAAAAUUAUCCAGAUAUAGCCACAGAAUAUUUGGAAUUUAUUAUGCUAAGUAUGUCCAAAGUUGAUUCCAAUGGAAGAGCUAUUUGUCUGGAAUUAUUUUUGUUAACGAUUCCACAACAAUCUAAAGAGCAAAUUAUAAAAAGACUUAGUUACAUAAAGUUCCAUAGUAUAUUAAAAAACAGAAUUGUGCUUUGUGAAAAAAUAGCACUUCAAAUUAUACAUGAAUUAGUUCUUAUAUUAGAACCAUUGGAUCUUUUACCACUUGCUAAAUUGGUUUCUCCAUAUACAAAGCAUGAUUUUUCGGAAUAUAGAGAGAUAGCUUACAAAAUCUUCAUGAGUAUAUAUAAUAAAUAUUCAAAAAUAACUUUAUGUAAUGAUAUGAUAGAAAAAUUGAGGUAUUUAAGUAAACAAACUCUACUUGGAGGUUUAUUGGAUCCUGCUACAGAAUUACAAACGAGAAUAUUACAUUUUUGGACAGAAGAUAACAAUUUAGCAAGCAAAAUAACAGAUAGAUUGUUAGAAAUUUUAAACAUAUAUUCACCCAAUACAGAAGAUGUUUUCCUACCAUUUAUACCACUUACAAUGUUGCAUCUCCUGACAAAGACAGUUGAAUAUACAAGUAAAAUGUUCGAACCUUUAACUGAUUGUGAUUAUAAAGAUUAUGAAAUUAUUCCUUCAUGGAAAACCAAAAAUUUAGGAUCUAUUGCACCAUUAUUUGCUCCUUCACUGGCAAGUCAAAUGAAUCAAGUAUUCACUCAAACAAUGUCUUCGACAUUUAAUUAUGAUUCUUUUUAUACAUCAUUUCAAAGUAGCAUCAAUUUUCGUGCAACACAAGAUCCAAUAUUUGAACAAACAUAUCCAAAUGAAGAUCAAGACAACCAAAUGUUUUUGAAUGACACAGAAUACGAUAUGAAUGUACAAGCAUCAAAAAUUGUACAACCUGCUGAUAAUAAACGAUCAAGAAGAUUUUUAGCCAAUUCGACUAUAGUUUCCAAUAUCAUUAGACAACGAGAAAUAACAAAAAAUUCGCAACAUGCUAACAUGAUAAAGAAAGAAGCAAUAAGGCAAAGGAACAGUGUAAAGUUAUGCAGAAAGUAUAGAUCUGGUGAUUUUCCUGAUAUUGAAAUUACCCUUUCUGAUUUAAUUGAACCACUGCAAAAUUUAAUAAAAAAGGAUCAAUUGAUUUGUAAAGAUAUAACAGUUGCAAUGUUUAGCUCUCUUAUAGAAGCUAUGAAACUGCAGCAAAAUAUAAAUAUCAUUCAUGAUAUUGUUUCAAUCUUAAAGAAAAUAUUAUGUAACUGUCAAGAAAGUUCUCCGCUGAUGGCUGCGAUGCUAGAAAUAAUGCUUACAUGUCAUAUAAUUGACUGUUCUCCUGAUAUUACAACAAAAAUUUCUAAAGCAAAUCAUUUUAAUUCCAUUGCUACACUUCUGUUGGAAGAAAAUUUAAUAUAUAAUUCUGAUGAAACAUCACCACCUCCUCAAAAAAGAUUGUGCUUGGCUGAGAAAGAAAUUGAUGAGCAGACUAACAAAUGGGUACAAUUAGCUAAACUUUAUGAAUCUAUGAAUGAAAUCGACAUCGUUUUAAGCAUUUUCCGAGAUAAAAUUGAUAAUAAACAUUUACAGGAUUCUUCUUUUGCUCAAGCUACAUCUGAUUGGGUAAGAGGAAAAUCAGCAUAUGAAACUGUCUAUACAGAAGAAGGAGGAUUAAUUAAAGAACACUGUCUCCAAGGUUUAUUCAAAUGUUUGAGUCAUUUAUCAGACUGGGAUAAAAUUGAUACAUAUAUAAAAGAUAGAUUAGAUCAAAAUUUAAAUAAUAUUUGGAACGAUGCAUGGAAAAAUUGGAUGUUUCCAUGGAUGUUUCAGGUUUAUGUGCACAAAUCAUUAAUUUUAGAUGAAAGUUCAGAGUUUGUUGAAUUUAAGAAAGCAGUAAAUCUUUGGUUUGAAGAUGAACAGAAAUUAAGUUAUAUAAAAAGUAAUUUUGGAGAAGAAUUAGCUUUAUUCUUUUUAAACGAGGAACAAGCUAACGCUCAUGAUUUUUUAAAUGCUACUCUCGAUGAAUUAAGGAAACAAUGGAUACAUCUACAUCCAUUGUCUGUUCAACUUAAAAAGAAGAAGCUGGAAAAACUGCAAGGAAUCAGCGAUAUCGAUCUAUUUUUAAAAUAUUUGAAAGUCUCAGAUACUACUCAAGGCGCACAAGAUUUACUAAGAUUCUGGCGCAGAAGUGUUCCUUUAGUGCAAGAUGAUAUUCUCUUGUGGAAUAAACUGAUCUUAUAUAGAAUAAACUUUGCACCACUUUACAUACAACAUUUAAACAAUACUAUGGAGAUUGAAACGCAAAGUGACGAAGAAAAUAAUUAUAUUUAUGAAUUACAAAAUAUUUCUUAUCAACUUUCACUUGAUAUGAUUAAUAUGGCCAUAAGUCACAAAAAUAAAUUUAUAGCAAAUCAACAAUUUAAUUGUUUAAAGAAACAAAUCGAUAACUGUUCGUCACAAAUUAAACAUAAAUAUAUAUUGGCCACUGCUAGGCUCAAAUAUCUAAAGGGAGAAAAUGAAUUAGUUUCUGACAAAAAAUUAUCUCAUUAUGUUUUUUCUUGGAAAUAUUCGCAUAAAAUAUUGGAUCAAGAUGAUCUCGAUGUUUCGCUACAAAUUGCUUCUAGACAUCAUAUAAGUAUGCUAGCUACAAGAUUUGUACAGUUAAGUUAUGAAAACGAACAAUUUGUUGAUGUAUUAUACAAAAAUAGCACGAUCUUAAAAGAAUUAGGGGUCAAAUUCAGUAGCAUUGAAGAUGUAAGAAAUCUUUUGGAAUCUUAUAGCUUUAAAAAAAUGGAAGAAUGUUGUAGUAUUGGAAAUCCAAAGGACUGUUACUUUAUUUUGUCUAAAUAUUGUUACAAUCAAUUUUGCAAAUUUUCCGAUAAUAUUUAUUUGUUCAAAGAGUUUGUAAAUUCUACAUUGAAAGCAAUGAGUUAUGGUUCGGUAGAUGCUGCACAUUAUUUUCCUUGUUUAUUAAAACAUCAGUAUUUGAAUGACGAUGAAGUUAAAGAGAUUUUUAUAAACAACACUAACAAAAUUCAGUCUUGGUUAUUUCUUAGAUGGCAAGCACAAUUAUUUUCUCAUCUUGGGACAUCGAUAGCGGAUUUAAUUAUACCGAUUAUUGAAAGAAUUAUUGAAGAUUAUCCAAAUGCUCUGAUAUAUAUUCUUCGUUUAAUAAUAGAAACAAAUCCGAGUGUAUUGAAUGAUUCACGAAUGUACAAAAUCAGGAAAUUGUUAUACGAUAAUCAAGAGUUAGAACAGUUUCUUAAAGCAAUGCAAUAUGUUGUUCAGCCAGAAUCAUAUUUAUGUUAUUAUCUCCAUGAAUGUGUUAAAAAUUUGUCAAAGGGUCCAGCUACUGCAAUUGAUAUCUUAAUGAAAAAGAUUCCAUCUUUGAGAGCAAACAGAAAUGAACCAAGACCAGGAAAUAUAUAUAAUAUAAUUAGUAAAUUUAAUUUAAAAAAACUUGAAAAAAUGCAAGAUGAGAAGGAAAUUCGUCAAUAUUUGAAACAAUUAGAUCAAACUCUAAAACAAUCGCUUCAGAAAACGAAAACUAAUGGAUUGCUGAAAAAUUAUAGUCCAUGGUUAUGCGAGUUUAGUGAAAGCCAAUUAGAAGUACCAGGACAAUAUACAGGCUAUAGAAAACCCAUGCCUCAGUAUCACAUUAAAAUUAUGAAAUUAGAACCAACUGUAAAAGUUAUGGAAUCAUUACGUAAACCAAUCCGUAUCACAAUAAUAGGUGAUGAUGCAAAGGAUUAUAUGUUUUUAAACAAAUUUGGAGAAGAUUUAAGACUCGAUCAAAGAUUGCAACACACUUUUUCAAUCAUAAAUAAAACUUUGAAUACCGAUAUAGCUUGCAAACGACGUCAUUUAUUUAUUGAUACGUAUCAAGUAAUUCCACUGUCAAAAUCAUUAGGUCUCAUAGAGUGGAUCAAAGAUACCAAAUCACUGUACGAUUUAAUUUAUUUUACUCUUCCUAAAAAUAAAUAUCCUCAUUAUGAUAGCAUUGAAAAAGAGUACAAUGCAUGGAUUCAAAAAGCUGCUGGAUCUUCAAGAAAUUUAGCAGUACAAUAUAAAGAAGCAACUUUAAACUACAAUGCUAAUGCAGUUAUUAUAAAAAUGAAUGAACUAAUUGCUAAAACGGAAUGGGAUUUGUUACGUAAAGCAUGCAUAACAUUGUGCCCAUCGCCAGAAAGUUUUAUAACAUUUCGACGAAAUUUUAUUACUAGUUAUGCUACAAUGUGUGCAGUACAUUGGAUUUUGGGGAUUGGAGAUCGUCAUCUAUCAAACAUAUUAAUUUCUAUUGGGUCAGGGAAAUGUUUAGGUGUCGAUUUUGAUCAGGCUUUCGAUGCUGGCAUUGAUUCAAUGAUACCUCAACUUAUGCCAUUUCGCUUAACAACUCAAAUCCUUGGACUUUUAAAACCAUUUACUGAAAAAGAUCUCUUUGGAGCAACAAUGACGCAUGUUUUAAAAGCUUUGCGAUGCGAUAAGAGUACUAUUCUUGCAUGUCUAGAUGUUUUUAUACACGAACCUUUGAAUUGGACAGAAAAUGUUAACAAAGCUUUGGAAAGAAUUGAAGAAGUGAAUACCGAUGUGAAAUGGUUACCGCAAAAAAAAAUUAAUAUUAUAGAAAAAAAGUUGAACGGCAAUAAACCAUCAGCAAUAAUUUUGGAACAAUUGAAAGAUUUAUACAGUGAUCAAUAUUUUGAAAGAUAUUAUAUGAUAGUUAAUGGUGAUGAUGGUAUUAAACGUACUCGUUUAAAUAUCAGAAAUGAGAAAUUAACAGCAGAGGAACAAGUCGAAUGUUUAUUAGAUCAAGCGACAGAUUUUAAUAUUUUGGGUCGUACAUAUGUUGGUUGGAAACCGUGGCUAUAAACUAUUCCAAAUAUUUCAAAAAAAUAUUAUCAAAUUUAAUAUAGUAAUAGGAAAAGCUUUAAAUGUGUCGAUAAUUAUACUUACCGUGGUGGGCAACUAUAAUAUUGACAACUAUAUUAUUACGAUUAACUAUUAGUUUACCAAUAGCAAUAUAUCAG